CUUAUACUCCCUCCGUCCGAAAAUACUUGUCAUCAAAAUGAAUAAAAUGGGAUGUAUCUACACGUAUUUUAGUUCUAGAUACAUCCCUUUUUAUCCAUUUUGAUGACAAGUAUUUUCGGACGGAGGGAGUAGCAG
rnacentral:pre_miRNA from 1 species